GAUCCUGGCUCAGGAUGAACGCUAGCUACAGGCUUAACACAUGCAAGUCGAGGGGGCGAGCAUGGUCUUAGCUUGCUAAGGCCGAUGGCGACCGGCGCACGGGUGAGUAACGCGUAUCCAACCUGCCUUACACUCUUGGACAGCCUUCUGAAAGGGAGAUUAAUACAAGAUGUUAUCAUGAGUAAGCAUUUUCACAUGAUUAAAGGUUUACCGGUGUAAGAUGGGGAUGCGUUCCA
rnacentral:rRNA from 1 species